rnacentral:rRNA from 1 species
UACGUAGGGCGCAAGCGUUAUCCGGAAUUAUUGGGCGUAAAGAGCUCGUAGGCGGUUUGUCGCGUCUGCCGUGAAAGUCCGGGGCUCAACCCCGGAUCUGCGGUGGGUACGGGCAGACUAGAGUGAUGUAGGGGAGACUGGAAUUCCUGGUGUAGCGGUGAAAUGCGCAGAUAUCAGGAGGAACACCGGUGGCGAAGGCGGUUCUCUGGGCAUUACCUGACGCUGAGGAGCGAAAGUGUGGGGAGCGAACAGG